UGAGGAAUAUUGGUCAAUGGGCGGGAGCCUGAACCAGCCAAGCCGCGUGAGGGAGGAAGGCCCUAUGGGUCGUAAACCUCUUUUGUCAGGGAACAAAAGCGAGUAUGUAUACUAGUCUGAGUGUACCUGAAGAAAAAGCAUCGGCUAACUCCGUGCCAGCAGCCGCGGUAAUACGGAGGAUGCGAGCGUUAUCCGGAUUUAUUGGGUUUAAAGGGUGCGUAGGCGGCGGUGCAAGUCAGCGGUAAAAGCCCGGGGCUCAA
rnacentral:rRNA from 1 species